AAGCACACCUGAAUGUGCAUACCUGCAGACCUUUGCAUCAUGCGUACCUGGACGUGCACACCUGUGGGUCUUUGCAUCAAGAUGACCUGAAUGUGCACACCUGUGGGCCUUUGCAUCACAUUCACAGGGACGUGCACACCUGUGGGCCUUUGCAUUAUGCUUGCCUGGCCCUUGCUUGUCCGUGGGCCUUUGCUCCGCCCUUUCUUCUGCCUGAGGAUGGUCUUCGAAAUUUCAGUCCUGUCCCUGGAGAGGCCUGGUAGCUUCUGUAUCACUGUACAAUCAUCUCCCCAGUCAGGCCCCUGCAAGAGUCCCACCCAAACUAAAUGCAAACAUUCUGGAUGACGUUAAUUGUGCCCAGAUGAGCUGUAAGGGCUGGCUGUGCUUAAUAAAGAGAUCAAGGGAUGCCAGAAUGCAGAUCCCAAUUCCAACUCUGAGCACAGGAGACCGAUUCACCCUCCACCCCAAUUAGGAGCUAAAAUGGUGGAAUUAAAUUGGCAGACAUGAGUUCGAAAGAAAAUCCUCAAACUAAGCAAAAUCAGGAGAAAAAAAGACAGUCUUAGGGGAGAAACUAGGAAUCCCUGAGAAGGACGUGGAGAGAAGGAAAGAGCUGAGACACGUUUCCUGGGUCACUCCCCGUCCAUCAGCUUCUUGUCACUUGCUUUACAUGCAGCUUUAUCAUGAGAGCGAGUGAAUAAACAGCCCCCCUGAGCCACAGAAUGAGCCUGAGCUUUCGAAGGGCAGGUGGGCAGGUUGCAGGCAGCAGAGUCCAGCAAGGACCCUCUCUAGCCAGACCUACCUGCAGCGGGGAGGGGAGGGUGUGUGUCUCCAGGGUUGGGAAGGAGAAAAUCACAAAGGAGACAGGACAGGAGAGCUCCAGAGAGGGACUCCCAGCCAAAAGAGAAAUGAGAUUUUUUAAUAAAAAUUAGCAAACAUACAUUUUGCUUGCCAUGGAAUACAAAUAAAAUUCACAAAGUUCAGAUGUAAGGUAUAGGAUCCACAGGUCUUUCUGAAGCCCCUGCCAUAUGCCAGCCUCUGAGGACACAGAGAUGCACAAGACACGGUCUUUGCCUCCAGGGAGCACAGAGAGACUGCAGGGAGGAGGCCUGGGAAUAAGCAGAACCUGAUGCAGCCUGGUGGGUGGCCAGGUAGGAGCAGCCCAGGACUCAGAAGAAACCUGUAAGAGAGUAAUGAGGCAGAUUUAAAACGACUAAAACCCUGCACCUCCCUCUUCCCUUUAGGGCUGAAGGCUCCUCGGCAGGCAGAGCCCCACAGAGGGCAGAGGCAGGAUGACCCUCCUAGACUCCGGCUCCCAGAGACAGGGCCCCGACAGUGAGUGUCCCGGCAGCUUCUUGAAUCCUUCAUGCAGGCAGGCAUUUUUAGACCAUUCCCUGGGAACUGUUUUGGAAGCUUUGUGAAAAUGCACAGUUAUGAGCAUACAGGUGGUGAUCAAUAAAUGCAGGUUUAACUGUAAUGGUCUGGGGAUUCAUCCUGGCCAUCUUCCCAGGAAAGCUGCUUCCUUUAUAAAACCAGAAGCACAUUUGGUUUCUUUUCACCUGUUGUCAGUGAAAUGGGCUCAGGGGUGCCACAGCAGCAAACACGGUAUUCAGGUGGCUUUGGGACAAGGGUUUGUUUCUCACUGUGUGCUGUGUACCCAGUGUGGGGGAACUGGGUGCUCUGUUCCUCUCUUCUCUGUUCCUAGAAUGAUCACUAUUGGGGAGAGUUCUGCAAAGCUCUGCACUGUUAAGCAAAAGCUCAUCCAUGAGAGGGACUCGUCACCUUUCUGCUGAGAGCCCUGCCAACCACAAGGAGGCUGGAAGUAUUCACACCAACUAAUGAAUUGGGAACCCACUCCUCAAGGGGUCUUCCAUCGCCUCAGAUAUCUGGUGUUUUAAAGAAUUUAGCAUAUUGUAAAAAAAAAAAAAAAGUCUAUCCUGGGAGAACCAUAUACAAAAGUAGUCUGUGAACCUUUUAGAAAACUCAGAGAAGAGCAAAGAUGAAAUUAGGAUCCCUCCACCCCCAAACACACACACACUUCCUUUCUUUGGUAAGAAUUUUGAU
rnacentral:lncRNA from 10 species